AUAUAUAGGAACCUUUUCUGGGUCUACCAGAGCUGGAAUAAUAUGCCAUUUCUGUUUUCUACCUAUGCAUUUGAUUUGAUUCCAUUUCAUUUUAGAGAAAUACUGCCCCAAUAUAGGGUGAUUUUAGGUUCUCCUCCCUCAUAUUUCAGUUCAUCAAGUCACAAUAACUUAAGAGAAAAAGGCCUAGUUUAAUAUCUAGGUUUCCCCAAAGUGAGGAGCAAAAUAGGUACUCAAUAAACACUGGGAAUCAGAUAUGGGAGAGAUUUUCCUUUUCUCUACACAUAAAAAGGGUAAGCCUGGACAAGUGCAUAUUAAUAGGAAAAAUAAAAUAGGAUUUAUAAUUUGUAAUUGUGCUUUAAUCUUUCAGAAGGCUGAUACUUUAACACAUGACCAUAAAACAGGCUGUAAUACAGCUAAUUAGGCUAAAUACUUUGUGCCUUUCUCCAUCUUCUUACCACUCUGAUGCUAAAGCAUCCAGGGUUGACCCAGGUUUUUUCUUUGUUGGUGUUCUUUCCAAGAAUACUGUUGUAGUUGCUGGGGAAUCCUUUACAUACACCCAUAUUCACCUCUGACUUCUGAUGGGAUUUCUGGACUUCUCAAACUCACCAUGUUGUCUCUUGUCCUGAACACAUACAUCUACCUUUACAUAGUCCUUAUCCUAAGAUCAGGAAAUAACCAAUUAAAAAGGGGCAUAGAGGACCACAAGCUUGGUGCAAGCUCACUUAAUUGUAAUUCUCUGCACUAGCUGCCAUGUCAAUAAGGUUGCCUAAUAUUUGGGUAGAGAAGAACCCAUCUUUCCUCACCUUUCAGUGGAGUUACAUGAUGCCACUGGAAUAGUCUCAGCAGAGAAAAUACUAGAGAGAAGUUUCAUUUUAUUUUAACCAGAACAGCAAACCAGAUUACUGACAUUGUCAUGAACAAGGUGGCAACAGAGACACUCAGGGUUUAAAGCCUAAUUUUAAAAUGCCAAGUUCUGUCAGUACUAGACCAAUACAGAGCUAGAAGCUUCUUAUCUACAAAGGCUGCAAGCAAUGAGUCAUCUUACCUCAAAUAUUCCAGAGAUUUGCAGAGGAGAUCAGGUUGAAUAUUCCUAACAAUGACCCCCAAAGGCUGAUGAAAUCAUACACAUAUAAUGGAGAUAAAAAGCAAAUGGCUCAGAGUCAGCCAUUCUUUUUCAAAUAUUUAUAGUGUUUCCUAUUUUUCCUGAACUCAUGAAAGAAAGUGCAUGUGCCCCUUUGGCCUCACUUAUACUUCCAUUCAGUUGUUUUAGUACAUGGAAGAUUCUAAAAAAAAUCGUAGACUGCCACUUUGCCUGGAAGGUUCUCUCAUACCCAGCAUCUAUGAUCACAGAUAUACAAAUGAGUCUCACUUGUUUUACUUUCUGCUGCAUGAAAGCAUUGUUUCCUGAAGGACGUGGCUCCUGUAAUAUCUUUUGUUUCAAAUGAAUGUUAAUUGCAGUUGGUUGUUGAAGGGUCCCCUAACUAAAAACAAAUGAAAAUGAUGUUCUGGAAUGUAAGAACUUUUACAACCAUUUUGCAAGCAUUCCACAAGAUGGCAGUAAAUUCCUGCAUUUCAGAUGAUGUAAUUUUAACCUUUUGCUAUAUAAAUGUUUCAUCAAUAGAAUUUUUUUCUGACCAAAGAUUUCAUUUUUUUCCCCCACAGAGGUAAAUUGCAGAGAUCAUUUUCGAUUAAAAAAAAAUAAGACCCAAGAGAGGAAAUCACUAUAAUUUUGAUUUUAAUGCCAUAUCUUUAUCUUGUAUUUACUCUUGAAUAUUCUCUCAUAUGUCCUGUUAAUAUAUGGAAGAAAGUGUCAUUGAAAUAUCACAUAAUUUGUGAAACAAUAGACUGCUGAUUGUUUUCAAAGAUUUAAAUAAAACUCUUCCUAACCCAACAAUUUACACUGUUAUUCCUGUGAGCUCAUUUUUUUUCCAUUUCAAGAAUCUCUAAAAGGUGAAAUCCACUGAUUGAAAUGGAGCAAAUAAAGAAAAAAAAAGAACAUGGAUUUUUCAUUUAUGUGAUCAGCUUAAGACUCUUGGUAAUUAGACUAUUUCAUAAAUAUUGCAUUCUAGGACUCUAAACAUGAAAGAAAUUAGUUUGCAAGGAUUUACCCCUUCCCCAUCCAAGUUGAAUGGCUUUUAUUAUUGCUUCUUGAGAAAGUCUCAGAGGAGAACAGUGAGAUAAUUUAGAUAAAAUAGAAUAACACACAUAUCUUUUCUUUUCUUUCUUUCUUUCUUUUUCUUUUUCUUUUUUUGGUAUUCCAUUGUGUCUGGUGCUUGAAAAUUAUAGCUAAGUGACCUACAAAAUCCUAAUGUACACACCUCGCUGCACAUCCAUUCAUCCUUUGUUUAGUAGUAAGUGUGAUCGAAUUAGUCUCUAACCUCUAUUAGACACAUGAAGAAAGUAAAAAUGUAAUAAGGAAAGAUGGGCUUAGUCAUGGAAGAGUCAGUACGAAUUAUAGAGAUCUAGAGAAUAUUAUGACAUCAAACCUCUUCUAUUUUUCCUCAUACACUUGGAGAUAGACUCCUUGGGAGGACUAAAUACAAAUGUGGGAUUUAAAGAAUUUGGAAAGGCAAAUUUUUCAAUGAAUACUGAGAGGAUAAUGAAGGGAAUAUGCAUAUUUGAACUAUGCCUAAGGGGGGGGAAAGCAAGACCUCUUUAUGCUAUUCCUUUUAUUUCCCCUUGUAAUUGUCAUUAUAUGAGACAUUUUAAUUUUGUUUUUGCUGUUUGUAUCUGCAGAUAGUAAGGUUUCCCCCCCCCCCACUGGCAAAAAUAUAACAGCAAAGUAAACUGACUACUGACAGCUAUGCUUAAUAAAGACAGGAUUGUAGAAAUCAUACCCUUAUUUUUUGAACUGGCUCAAAUUCAUUUGCAUAUUAAGAUAGAAAGGAUUUGGGGAAUAUCUAAUCUUGAUUUAGUUGGUUAUUUGCAAUAGAGGACUUUGAUCCCCUCUCCUUACUCUGUCCCCCAUAGUGCUUGAGGAGAAAGAAAAGAGUUGGGUCAUUCUGCUUGUGGGCUCUCCUUGGCUUUUGUUAGCUGAGAGUCAAUGCUAUUACUAAAGAAAUCUCAGCAAACCUUCAUUAAGUAGAAAGAGGUUCUAUCGAUUCUGUCCGAGACCAAAGUUGUUUGAUGUGAUCAGUGACCAGUCUUGAAGAGAUGUGCCUACAAUCUAGUAGCAAGGAGCAAUGCCAACAAAGGCUACAGUUGAUGGAACUCAUAAUGGAGCAACAGUGAGUGCAUGGAUGAGAGAUUAGUCUGUGUUGUUGAAACUGUGGCACUGGUACCCAGGCAUGUAGGGAGGUGGGGAACUGCUCAGUUUGCCUUCUCCACAGCUCCAGAGGACACUUUUCACAUGGUUCAACCCUCUGCCCAGCAGUCUAAUGAAAGCGCUUCCUCCUUUCUAGAGUAAAAAGGGAGGGGGAAAAGAGGCUCACAAGCAGCUUGAAGUGCAGUUUGGGCACGUGAUUUUGAAAAUGUUCACCAAUGCUGUACUAGAUGGCAGGAGAUCAGCUUGAUGAUCAGUUUGGCUAGUCUCCUAAUAGCAGUAUAUAAUCAGAAGACCUUAGUGAUUCUACAUUAUUGCCAGUAGAAGUAAAUAAUUUUGAAAUUUCUGAUAUGAGUUUUCCCAGGCCCCAUUCAUACCUGUGGGCUAUGAAUGUGGCUCUCAUGCAUAAUCCUUAUGCAGCCUAAGUCUCCACUUCAGGUAUAUGCAUUUGUGGGAGAGUUUGCCUAAGUUUUAUAGCAGCAUUGUUCUAAUGUGGCUUUUAUUUUUGUGCUUUCAUUAACUGCCUUAGCUUUGAACUAAUCCUGCUCUCUGGCUGAAUCCAGGAAAAAAAAUAAACUCUUCAAAAGAGUCUUGUGAUCUUUGCAAUCCUGCAAGAUUAGUUUUAGAGUUCCCACCACAUCAGUAUUCUCUUCCCUUGUAGCUCCCCUAUUUGGAGGUUAGAGAGCUUGUUCUCAAACCUCCAUUGAAGGAGGGUGACCAGGUCAGUCAUCUCUUCAUUUUCCACCUGGUCACAUUCCUUUUGACUUCUGAAAUGUGUCCCUGAAUCCUUUCAUGCCUCCUUUCAUCAUUUUUUUCCUGUGAUUUUUUCUCCUAUUAGAUUGUAAGGUUCUUGAGGCAAGGGCUGUGUUUGCAUCCCCAGAGCUUAGCACAGUACCUAUGGAGCUUAAAAAAUGUUGAUUAAUUGGCUGACUAGUGUUUUAAGUGAAUAUGGAAACUUAAAGAACCCUGAACCUGGGAUAGAUAAUAGAUAUUAUAAUAUGAAUAGGGGCUUUCCCAGUUGCUUCAUUUUCUAAAAAUGAGGGGGAAGGCCAGGUGAAUAAAAUCUGUUCAUUGACAAUUGGUUAAAAUAUGCUUUUUAAAGCUAGUACAUAGGAGCCAGACAAAGAUUGGAAUAUAAAAACAAGCUGCUAAAAAAGUGUAUAUAGUGGAGAACAAUGUUUUUCCCCCUUUCAGGUACUUGCUUCCUUCUCUUCCUGUUUUUUCUUUUUUCUUUAUUUUCUAUCCUCUUUUUUCGGUUUCAUUCCCUAUUUCCUUUCUUAUGUGCUUCUCUUUCCUUCCCCCUUUCCUUUCCUUUUCUUUCUCAUUCCUUUUCCUUUCCUAGCAUCUUCCCUUCUCUAUCUUCUCCCCUUUCCUCUCCAUUCCUCCUCAAUUCUCCUUGUUUUCCCUUCCAUCAAUUUCUCCUAUUCAAUUCAGAGAAUCUAAUUUUCCUGAGGUCUAAGCCUUGACUGACUUAGUUUAGCACUUGAAGAAAAAUCUAUUGUCAGUUUGAUGCUUUCCUACAACUAUUUAUAUUGGGAAGGACAGUUUUUCAUAUCAUCUUACUCUGUCUUGUUGAGAGUGAAAAAAUUCAUUUUUUGUAGCUGAAGACCAUGCUAGGGACUCAUUUGACCCAAUUAUAUGGAGCUUCUUCCCACUUCUCUAAAUAUUUUUUUCUUAAAGGCCAGUUAAAAUCAUCAUUCAUUUACUACAUGAUUGACUUAAAAAGGAAACCUUUUAAAGUCACUGAGUUUAUAGCCAUUUGUUAUCUUGUAAGUGGCAUAAAUGCCCAGCACUUACUUGGUCCAUAUUUGGAUUCUUGCUGACUGCAGCACAAUUGCCAAAGUUUCAUUCCUAUAGAUGUUUUGUAUAUACUUCCCCCUUACAUUUAGUUCCUCAGGCUGUUAAGUUUCAGGUAGACUAAAUCAGGUGAAAAGCCAGUAGUCAUCUAAGGCCCUAGGUUUUUUUGGUGUUGCAAAAUUUUCAAAGUUCCUGAGACUAGACUGUCUUUUCUCAGCUUACUUCCUGGCACGUAUCUUGACUUCCAGGUGUCCCACACAUUGUGUUAAUUUUGUCUCCUCUUUCUAGAUUACAUUAUUCCCUUUUAUUAUUCCAGACUAGAUGACCUAGAAUUCUACCUGAAAGUCCUUGAGACUCCCAUUUUGGUUGUUGGCUUUACAAAUCGGUAUUGACUAAUGGUAUAUGUGGUUGGCUAGAUCACCCAUGUAGUACAUUUGGACUUCAUCCAUUUGGUAUCCUGGAGCAGUUAGGGUAGGCACAUAAAGUCAUAGUCCUGCCUACAAAGAAUUUAUUGGGAAAGGCAUAUAUACUGAGAAGACACAUUCGUAGGCAGCAAGUCUGAAAACAUUAAGUUAAUAUUCAUGACUGAAUGGAGUUUGAGAGUAUCCUGAAAAGUUUUUCAUCCAGAUUUGGAAAAAAAAAAACUGAGAUGUUGUUCAGAAAUAAUUGGAACCCAAGCAGACAUUUUAGUGAACUGUAGAGACAAAAUCAAUAAGAAGACUGAAUUUUCAGUGAUAAAAUUUUACUAUUUGUCUAGACUUCUUAGCAGGAAAAUGGCAUAAAAUUAAGAAAUUCACCUAGGGUGCUGUUUUGGUUAUAAGACCUCAAAUAACCAAGGUGACAUUCAUUUUUUUACUGAAUUAACCAGUUACCUAGACAUUGUAUGAAUGAAAAGGAUAUUGAAGGAGGGAAAACAGAAUAAUUUUGUGGUCCAAAAUAUUUCUAAGAAUGUCUUUAACUUAUACAAACAAAUCAUCCUAUUUUUAUAUGUACGCUCAUUUUGGUACUCAAUGUUCAUCUCAAUUAAGUUUAAACUUGGCUAGCCACAAAUAAGUGGUUAGCUGUGAUUGUCUUUUGACCCUGUACCCUUUUCUCAUUGGCUUUUUUUGUACCUCUCUGUGAUCAGACGAAUGUAGCAAGAUAUAUUUGCCUUUCUAUGACAGUUUCAGAAAUAUUAUGUUGGUUGCUUCUCAGUGACUUUGUCUUUGUGAUGUAAAUGUCAUUGUGAAAAUUCAAAGUCGUGGUAAGUGAAAUUCUGCACAAAGAACUCCAAAUUACAUUCCUCAGAAUAGCUAGAGAAAGAAAGAAGUAUUCAGGGAGCAAUGCAAAACAUUAAUUGCAAUAUUUCAAAGAAAAUCUUGUUCUUCUUUCAAAACCUUUAAGUAUAUUAGUCCUAGAAUUAUGCUUCAUUCUAGGGAUAUUUUUAAAUGAGCUAAAAAAUAUAAUAUAAUGUUCCAUAAUAUAAUUAGCAAUCUAAUAAAAUAUUUUGUUUUAAAUUAGUUAAUAAAUGUACUAUAUGUAUAAUAAUAUACCCUUAAAAUAAAUUCUGAGAUCAUUAUUGAGAUCUUUUAAAAAGUGAUUGAAUAUAUUUCCCAUCCCCCAAAAUAUUAGAAAUCACAUCACUGCCAUAUUUAUUUCACUGUGUUGGAUAACACCUAACUAAUGGUGGUCUAAAAAAGUAACUCCUGGAUUCUAGGGCAGAGUUGCUUGAAAUUUACAUCAAACAAAAUGGCAUGAAUAUCUUCCCACUGUGGACAUUGGUGUGGGAGGGGUUUUCAGGCUCAAAUGGGGAUCACCAUGAGUACCAAGAUGUCUUUAGAGCUACCCAACUAGAUAUGCUGUCUCUCUCCUGCACUCAAGAGUUUGUGAUUCAAUUAGUCACCAGGGUGCCUGUCAAUGUGGGCCACAUUCAUUCCUUUAAAGGGCAGGGAAGGUACCUCAUCUCCCAUAUAUAAGACCCUUUCUGAUCCUAUCCUAGCACUGUCAGGAGGUUUAAUGGGUUAAUCAAUAUUAAGUACUUUUGAAAGCACUAUAUAAAUCCCAAUUAUUAUUAUAACCAGUGCUGUUAUCAUUACUCUACACAGUUGCCAGACUUCUAGUCUGAUGAUGACUUCAUUCCUCAGCUUUCUACACAACUUCUGCUGAGAUCUUACUAUAUACAUCAGUGUGUAGACAAAUAUUUGACCAGGGACCUUGGGAGUGGAUGGGAUGUAUGUAAACACACUUUGAAGUUUAAAUUAAAAUUUUAACAUGUAUCUUAGGUCUAUACAAUCAAUAAAAUAAAUCAAAAUCUAAUUUGGAAUUUUCAAUUUCUGAGAUGUAUUAAAUGCUCACACUAAAAGCUUAACAGUCAGUUCUUUAAGAGGGUUAGCGGUACUAAUGAUAUCAUUAGUGAUAGCUAUUCCACCUUGCCAACACAGAGGGGACUUAAUUUUUUUGACCAUACCCAUUGUUCUGGUUUAGAUGGUUAGGUUCAGCUCCUUUUUAAAAAAAUUUUUUUUAAACCCUUACCUUCCGUCUUGUGCAUUGGCUCCAAGGCAGAAGAGUGGUAAGGGGUAGGCAAUGGGGGUCAAGUGACUUGCCCAGGGCCACACAGCUGGGAAGUGUCUGAGGCCAGAUUCAAACCCAGGACCUCCUGUCUCUAGGGCUGACUCAAUCUACUGAGCUACCCAGCUGCUCCAGGCUCAACUCUUAUGAGAGAUUAUGGAUUUCACUUAGGAAGUUCUGCAAUAGUUCAGAAGCUGAUACAAUCAGCAUGCUGUCAUCCACAAACAAGAAAACCUGGAGGACCCCAUCAUGACAAGAAAGUCUAAUCCCUAUUCCACUGGACUCUAAUUCAUCAUUAAAAUAACACAGAGAUAGUAAAUUUAGAGUUAGAAUGAUUGCUUAAAUUUAUAGAGGGGGAACUGAGACCUAGAGAAAUUGACUGACUUGUCCAUGCUCCCUCAGACUGAAGGUGAAAGAAUCAAAAUUUAAACUUAGCUUCUUUAUUUUAUUCCACUCUACCAUAGCAGCAGCUCCCAACACAAAAGGAAGCAGACCAUUCAUGCCUCCAAAUAUCCUGUGUGUGUGUGUGUGUUUGUGAGUUUGUAUACAUUUUGCCCAUUUGUCCUUUGAGCUCAAACACUUAUCAGAUAGAAUCCAUCAGAAAAUGAUCCAAAAGAAAAAAAAAUCAUCCUAUAGUAUAAAGAUGAGAGGCAGUUGGUGCCUUACUCCCUGAUGCAGAAUUCAGCCACAGUCAUUUCAUUUCAUUUCACUUCUUAGCCUAGUGAGAAUUAUCUGCUUGUUUGCAUGAGGCAUCACCAUUGAUAGAAAAAAGGGAUGGAAAUUUAAGGCAUUUAGCAUAAAUACUUCUCUCUUUCUUGUGAUUUUUUGUGCCUAUUCCUUUAGAAGUACUUUUUUAAUACUAUCAAAAUUCACAAUGAAAUAUUAGCAGUAGAAUUUCAACACCAAAAAUUAAUUUCAUGCAAAUGUCAUUUUUCCAUAGCACAGGGAAUAAAAGAAUUCAUCCCCAAAACCUUUCUUCUCCCAUGACUUUUAUUUUCCUUUGCUGAUUGUAUUCUGUGCCUUCAGCCCCACAGACAGUUGGGAUAGGUGUGCCAAUUAGUUUGUGAGAACUCACUUUCUAAGGCUGGUGAGAAAAGUUGGAAAUGACCAACUUUAAGAGCUUAACUGGGAAAACCUCCCCCAACAAUUCCUCAUUGCUGCAUCUGUUCAGUUCUGUAAAACAUUAUUAUAUAGAUCAAAAUUCUUUGACCUUGUAUAACCAAUUCAAGUAACUACUGUUUGUUAACAAGCAAGUAUUCUUAGUUCUAAUCACACAGUGAUGGGAUCAUUGUUUUAGAGCUGGAAUGAACUGAAGUGACCAUCUAGUGCCAAUACUUUCAUUUUAUAGAUGAGGAAACUGAGACCUAGAAAGGUCAAAUGGCUUGUCCAGUCACAAGUAGUAACCACAUACACUAUAUUCAUUGCCUCCAUUCUUUUUUUUUUUUAGUGUUCAUACUACUCACUUUUACCUUCUCCCUCCAGUCCCUCAACUUGAAAUUUUCUUUUUCUUUUUUCCCUCUUCUCCUCUUCAGUCAUACCCACUUCUGCAAUUGAGCUCAAGACCUGGCUGGCUCUUUCAAGAAGUCUUCUUUAUCACCUACAGUCCACGUUGCUAUCUUCCUUCUAUAAACUCCUUUUACCUGAUAGUUCAGCAUUUAAUUACUGGUGAUUUGUUACACAUGUGUUAGCUUUCUCUCCCCAGUUACAAUAAUCUCCAUCAUAAGCCUCACUGAGGACAGGAGGUAUUUCAUGCAGACUGCAAUUAAUGAAAGAAUUGUUAAAUGCCUGCUAUGUGCAAGACACUGUCUUAGGUGCUAAGGAUUAAAAAAAAACAAAAACAAAAAGAAAAAGAAAAUGAAAUAGUGUCUGUCUUCAGGGGAGGUUAUAUUUUAUUUUAUUUUCGAAGGGCUUAGCAGGAGCUAGGCACACAAUAGACACUCAACAUCUACUGGAUGUCUUAUUUAUUAUUGACAAGUUAUUGCUGAGAAAUAAUAUAUGAGAAAGUGAAAUCAUGAUUUAAGAGAACUACCUUUUAAAAGUAGGAGCUCUUUCUCUUGGGCUAGAAGGAUAGAGCUAAUUUUGCACUGUUGUCUUGUGCUUGCAAUUUCCAUUAUUCCUUUUCUUUUAGCCAAGGCUUUGCAGAACUAAAAUUGAAACCAAGAGAGCCCUACACAUUACUUUUCUGUUGUUUGCCAGGGGUUUUAUGUUUCUGAAAAUCAUUUUUUUUCCAUCUACAAUGAAUUUGAGCUUUAGAAUCUUUAUAUGCAAGAUCCAUGACUAUAUCCAGGAAAAUUGAGGAUUCUUAAUGGAAAUGAAAGAUAGGAGGCUAAGCGGUCUCCGACUGUGAUCAAGCUCUGACAGUUUUAGGCUCUUUUCUUCAGGGUUUCAGAGGGAGCCUGACAUGACUAGAUUCCCAACAUUGUAAAGGCAAAUAUUCAUAUAGAAGUUUGUUUAGAAAGUUAGAGAACAAACUUUUUUCUUUCCAGAAGUAAAUAAAAAACUGAUUGGGAAGUAAUCACUAUGGAAAUUCUAACCUUCUCUUUCUCUCUCACUCCUAUACAAAUUGGAGAUCACAGAUAUUCACACCAUAGAUAAUUAGGAUGAGGUGAGCUGCAGUAUAGUCAGAAAUAGAUUUUGAAUGCUUUGCAGAAUUUUUGAUUUUUCUUUUUUCUUUCUCUUAGAAACUAUAAUUUAGUGAAUCUGACAUCAUUCAAUGACAAGGUUGUCUUUGUCAUUUGAAGAUAAACUCUCCUUAGUAUCUGCUGAUUUCCCAGCAACUUAUACAAGUAGGUGUUUAUGAAAAAGUUUUAUUGGUAAAGCUUCAGAACCUAUUUUGAGGGGUGCCCUUCUCUUGGAGAGAAAAAUCAAAGGUUAUUUAACUUGUUUAGUCUCAGUUUCUUUAUCUGUAAAAUGGGGAUAAUUUUACAAGAUUAAUAAAAACCACAAGAUUGUUUUUAAGAUCAAAUGUGCUAUUAUAUGUAAUACUAUUUUGCAAACACUAUAUACAUGUGGGCAGCUUUGAAUUAUCACUCAACUCAUUAUUCUCAUCUUUUUUUGAUGGAGUUGUAGGAAUUACAUUUUGAUGGUUUGACUAAAAUAUAUGAAAAUUAUAAAUAAUAUGGUGGUCACUGAUUUAAAAUAUUAUACCUCAAAGUCUUUUAAUAGCUUUUAUUUACAAAAGAGGUAGAAAGAGUGAAAGCAGAGAAAUAAAAAAGGAAUAUAGAUGUCUAGCCUAUCACACUAAAUAUUUCUCUGGUGCACGACUCAUCCAGGCACAACUUGUUAACCUUCUCAACUGAAGUUAAAAUCUCUCCAGAAGUCAGAAAAGCAAAGCCAGCUAUUCACUCUCCCAAGUUUCCUCCAAGAGGUGGGUCAAGACAACUUGAGCUGAAGAUGACUUCUGAAGCCGACUCUUCCUGAAGCCAACUCUCUUCUUGAAGCCCACUUCCCAGCCCCAGAAAUUCAGGGCCUUCUAUAAUGGCUUCUUGUCCCUUCCCCUCUUCACAGAGGUCAAUCACAGCUUCCAAAUUGCCCAGCACUGCCCAGGAGGUCAGUGUCUUGUGGUAUCCACUUCUCACCUCUGAAGGUAUAAAUUCUUAUUAUAGGCCUGUGAGGGUGUAAACCUUUUUUUUUAUCAUGGGAUUCACACAUUUCUGACAGAUUGGGUUAAAAGGGUAGAGCUCUCGUCACUUAGUGGUUAGCUAGGUACUAAGUAGAGAUACUAAAAGAAAGAGUUGACUAAGUGUUAACUCAAAGUAGAUAAAGAGAAUAAAGAAUUCCCUUUUACAAGUGUUAACUCAACAUAGACAAAGAGAAUAAAGAAUUCCCUCUCAUAGAGUAUAGAUAGAAACAGUCCAAGAAUGAUUUUAUAAUAACUUUUUCUUUCAUAUUUAGUACAUGAAAGUAUAUUUAGAGUACUGGCAUGUGUGCAUUGUAUGUUGUCAUAUAUAGAAGACAACCCUUUUAGCAGACAACAACAGUGAUGACAUUUUUCAUCCUGUUCUCAUAUGUUUUAAAUGUCUUUCAUUUUAUGCUAAUACUAAUGUGAUAAUAAUAAUGGAAAUUAUUUCAUCAUCAAUAGUAUUAUUUUCUUGUGUCCCAAAUAGAACCUAUAACUUUGGAUAAUAACUACCUCUUUAACCCUAUCCGGCUUUAUUAUAAAGGUCUGCUUUUGGUAUUAAGACCAUCUGGUAAAAGGGUAUUGAUAACUCAGGGCAAUUGGACCCCCAAGACUGUAGAAACAGUCCAAAGCUCAAACCUUCCUUAAGGUGGGGCAGUAAUAACAUCUUUACAAUAAGAUUUAAAAAUCUGUAUUACUUAAUUUUAAACUGUUGGACAGAAAAAUUACUGGUUAUGAAAGAUGAAUUAGACAAACGGUGCAUGCUACAGACAUGACAUUUCUUAAACAUAAUACUUAUGCACGAUUCUUCAGCAUCAUUUAACUUUUUUUUAUCUAAGUUUGGGUCAUAUAUCAUUGUGUUGCAUAUCAUUUGCUACUUAAUAGGACACUGGCAAGUUAGUCCACCUAGAAGUUAGAUGUAAAUUUAUAUGGGGAAAAAAAGAUGUUAUUAUUUUCACUAACUUCUAAUUGGAAUCUAACAUUUCCUUCAAUUAUUGAGAAAAAUUAUUCUGAGAAGGGUUUUAUAGGUUUCCCCAGCCUGUAAAAUGAUUCCCUAAUGCAAAGAGAGAGAGAGAGAGAGAGAGGAAAAAAAGUUUAAGAACUCCUCAAUUAGCUAUUCUUUAAGGACAUUUGAACUCUACAGCUUUAUGAUUGGUGACAUUACUAAGGAAAUAAAAAUCAAAUUUGCUCCAAAAAAAACUGUGCAUUUAAAGAAGGCAGAUAUUAAUAAAAUAUAUAUUCUGUAAUUAUAACUCAUUAUUUAAAAGCUGCAUUAUUUUCACUAUGUGGGGUACUCCUUUCAUGAAAGCAAAAUUAUUACCCUUCUCUACCUUAGUAGAUGCAUUAAUGGGUUGUUUUGACCAAAUAGUUCACCACCUGAUGGUCAGCUUCUGAAUUGAAGGAGACUGGUCCUGGAGCUAAUGAUACAUAAUCCAUUACUGGGGCCAAACUUGGAGUCUUUCCAACUUGGCAGGAUUUGAAAAAGCUUUUCCUCUGCUUAAUUAAUAUACAAAAACUCAGGGUCAGUUCCAUGUCAUGAUUAGGCUUCAGAGCAGGAUGUUAGUAGAGAAUUCUCAAAAUAAAAGACAUCUAUCUAUAAUGGAAACAUUACAUUCAAAUAUUAAUAAGCCCUUAAAAUAUCUACUAUAUGUUCACCCUCAUUUUCAAUAGAUCGAAAUGUGCAGGGAGUUCAUUUUAUGUAUCGUAACCUCACUUAUGCAUGCUCACUGGAAGUUAUGCUAUUACUGCUGACUUCACUAAUAUGUUAAUAUAUCAGUCUUUUGUCUCCUCUCUGUUCCCAUGUGGAAGCACAGACAUUUGUCAUAAUAGCCAGCAUGGUGAUAGCUAACCUUCGUAGGGCUCUCUGGUUCACAAAGUAUUUUACAAAGAAGAUCACAUUGGAUCCUCAUAAUAACCCCGUGAGGUAGGGGCUAUUAUUACUCCUGUUUUAUAGAAGAGGAAACAGGGGUAGAGAGAAGCUAAGUGACUUUCCCAGGGCCACAUUACUGGUGAGUAGCAGAGGGCAGAGUUUAACUCAAAUCCUCAUGACUCCAGGUUUACCACACCCCCUAGUUGCCUUGUUAUGUACAAAAUCUAUUUGGCCUUUCUUAUAAUCAUAACCUCCAAUUUAUAUGUGACUUGGGUGGACAGUAAAAGCCCAAACCUGCAUACAGUCUUUUCAUAUUCAUUGCACAGAGGAGGUGCAACAAUGUACGUGUAUGGCUAUAUAGUCACUAUUUCUACAUUCCCUCACAUACCAAGGCUCAUGGCCAGACACUCAAGUCCAGCUCUGGUGAAUCUUUUAGAGGUCGUGUGUCCAAACUGCACCUUCAGGCUGCCUGUGAUCCCCCUGCAUUGCUCCAGACAGUGGAGGGAGGAAAUGCUCACAAUGCACUGCUGGGUAGAGGGGUGGGGCUUAAAAAUGUCCUCAGGCCCUAUGGAGAGGGGGAAUGGAGCAGCCCUCUCCCCCAUGCUGGGGCACAGGUGCCACAUCUUUACACACACAGCUAUUGAUUCCUCUCAUCUGUCCUCCCACUCAGAACAUAGCUUUACUCACUCUCCCUCAUGUUUAAUACCUAGUUGAAUCUAAGUUCUCUUCGUCCCUCACAAUGCACCAUAGACUCCAUUACACUUUUUCCUUAUUCUUCCCCUUAGUCCUUCUGCUGAUCUAUGCACAGACUCUUGAACUAAUUCACCAAAGAAAUAAUUCUCUCCAUUCUCAGAGGCUCAAAUAACCUACUACCAUUCCUACUCAGUCUCCAGUAUCAAAACAGUGUCUUGAUGCUUCUAAAUAUGCUUGGGGAACUAUUAGCAAGAGUUAGCUUUUUAAGGUUUGCAAAACAUUUUACAAAUAACUCAGUUUAUCCUCAUAACAAUCCUCAUAACUUAAUUAUCCUCAUAACAACAAUGGGAAGUAAUAGAUGAGAAAACAGAGUGACUUGCCCAUGGUAACAGCAUUUGAGAUAAGAUUUGAACUCAGGAUGUCCUGACUCUCUGUCUCUUGUGCUAUCUGGCUAUCUCUAUUGGCAGAUGAGUACAACUAAAGGAAUUUGUUCUUCCCCCUUGCCAGUCUACCCAGAUCUUAAGAGGGACGGCUAGACACGGUCUGUUUCAUAAGGGAUAAGAGAAGAAGACAACUAGCAUUUCUGUUUGCCUGUAAUGUAGCAUGUAUAAGAAGUAUGGGGAAACAAGCAGGAGCCUAGAUGUUGAGAACUGUGAGUGCCAGUGUACUCUAAUACUUUAAUGGGUUUAUGAUGUUAUUGACUUGGAUAUUCUUUUCGAUGAUGCAGCUUGAAAAUCCACUGAUGCCUGUCCAUCCUGGGAUACUUUUAUUUAUCAUAUUUGUUUCCCACAGGCAUCUAGCUCACAUGGUAGGGACUUUCCUUACACUCCCAUGAUAUCAGGAGGAUAUCAGUGGAGCAAAUGGUUGUCCAUCAGGUAUCCAUGGCCUUUGUUGUGCUAUUUGACUAUCAUCCUUUUUGAUCAUACACUUCUCAAAUAACAUACUUUGUACUGCUUCUUUUAUACAAUACUUUGCUUCUGAUAUUUCAGAACAGCAUAUUUGUAUGUAACAUGCAGCUCUCCAUUACCCUUUAGGUGGUCUUCAUUUUCAAUUCUUCCUUUCAUUUCAAUUCAUUCAGCAAAACUGCAGUGUUUUGUGUCUUCCAACCAUUCAAUAUCACAAGAGAAUAUUGUUAUUAAGAAAGGAGAAGGGAAGGGAAAAAAAUUGUAUUAAGCACUACGUGCUAAGUGCUUUAUAGACAUUUCCUUGUUUAAUCCUUACCAACAAUGUUGUGAGGUAAGAUGCAUUAUUAUCCCCAUUUUAUAGCUGAGGAAACAGUUCAACAGAGGUUAAGUGAUUAGCCCAGGAUUAGGUGCAAGAUAAGUGUCUGACACUAAUUUAGUCACUGGUCAGUUUGCUGUAGCAUCUCACUGCCUUUAGGUUGAAAGAGAACUUGAAAUCACUAAAGAUCUCUGCAGUUCUUCAAAAGUAAUACAACUUAAUCCUUACUAUUUAAGGGGAAGGCAAAGGAAUAAGUAUUUUUAUAGCACAACUUAGCUGUGCUAAGUGUUUUACCUAAUUUUUUUUGUAUUUGAUCCUCAUAAUAACCCUGUGAUGUAGGUACUAUUAUUAUCCCCAUUUUUAAAGAUGAAAAAACCAAGGCAUAUACAGGUCAGUUAACUUACCCAGGGGGUCAUAUAUCGACUAAGUGUCUGAAACUGGAUUUGGACACAGGUCUUUUUGACUACUUAUCCAGUGCUCUAUCUACUGGUCCACUUAUUUGCUUAUUUAAUUUUGGAUGUAUGAUAUUAUCUAUUUAUAUAUAUAUAUAUGUAUAUAUUUGAAUAUUGGUGCUGUGGAAAGGAAACUAGACUGACAGUUUGUGGGGGAAGAGGCCAACUGGGAGUGGCAGUGGGGUCUUGUGACUAGCACUUCCUUCCUGCUGGGUGUGGCAGUGGGGUCUUGUGACUAGCACUUCCUUCCUGCUGGGUGUGGCAGUUGGGUCUUGUGACUAGCACUUCCUUCCGGCCAUGGGGGGACUUGCUUCCUGGUGUUGGAGGAGGAAGGAGCUUGUUCAGCCCUAUCUGGUGUGGUGUGCCGCCUCUUCUUGGUUCAGCCUGAAGAUUCAGGCCCAUUCAUCUCUGAAGUGCCCUGAGCCUUGAGGGUGUUAGAAUCGCUGGGCUCCCAUCACUCUACUUAAUAUGGCUUUUAGAGAAGGGCCACUGGCUUUGACAUCCAUGUUGUUAAUCAUUUGAUUGGGUUCUCUCAAAUCUGGCCCAGGUAUGGGUGUUCCUGCUGAAAACGGAGUAGUUCUGGAAGACUGAAGUAAGUAGAAUUUUCUUUUCAUUCUUCUGUUUCAAGGUACUUUGGGCUAAUUUUUGAGUUUUCAGUUUGCCUAUUUAAUCUUCUUAAUUUACUUGUUAUCCCUCUAUCCUUUAUUAUCUCAGCUCCCAUCAUUUCCCUGAAAUCCUUAAUCAUUCUGUUCCUUUUUCUAGCAGGGUGUUCCAAAUCACAGGUUACUGAAAUUGCACUGAUCAUUUCAAUCGCUGACCUGAAGGUUGACUUAACCCUGAGACUUCUGAUGAAUUCCAGGCUCCUAUAUCCUAUUACCUGGAAUCUUUCAAAGCUGUUCCCUAUCCCCCCUUCACUCCCCACCCCCACCAAGAAAUAGAGAAAAAAUGAGCUUUGAUUCUGAGUUAUUCCUUAGUUUGAAAAGAAAAUAAAAAUGAACAGGGACAACAGAAAUAAUAAAAUUGCAAGGGGCUUCAGAGAUCUUCCUCACCCUCAUCUAGUUCAGAUGAGGAUAAUGAAGCCUAGGGAGGUGACAUGAUGAGUUCAAGGUCACCCAGGUAGUAUGAGGCAUAUUUUGUAUCUAAGUCCUUUAGAUUCCUUUUAUGCCCCCCUCAGAAACACAUCUGUCUCUAGAUUAUUAUCAUCUCUUCCUAAUUUAUCAUUUCUUUAUAUUAUCUAUCUCUAAUCUGUUUUUCAUCUAUCUCUAAUCUGUCAGAUAUCUAUUCUCCUAUGAUCAGUCUAUCAUUCAUCUCCUGUCCAUCUAUAAUCUAUCCUUUUGUAUACUUUGUCAUCUAUCUACACUUUAUCUAUAUAUUUAUCAAUCAUCUACAUUUUCCUUAACAGAAAUAAUAUGAUAUAAUAAAUAAAUCUAAAAGCUUGAAGAUGAGAGAAUUUUAUGCACAAAUUUUGCCUCCCUGAUUUUAUAUUAGGAGAGAUUUGGGGAAGAAAAUAAGGUAACAGUGUGAACAUACAGAGUUGAAUGGAAUGCUGUCACCCAGGAGAGGCAGGAGACACCCUUAGUGAAGUGGUGUACUUCACAAAGUGAGUUCGAACAUCCAGAAUUCAGUUAUUGGGACUGCAAUUUAUUAAUAAAGGAAUAAAUAAAGAAUCUACUAGCUGGGACAGCCUUCCCUAGUGGAAGCUGUCCCAAUCUAACAUUUUGGAACAUUUUAUAUAUGGUUACAAGAUACAAAGUUAUUUCUUUUUACACCUAGGUUCUUAAUCAAACAAACUUUAUCACCAACACAGGAAUGUGGGGUCGGAGAUGAGGAGACAAUCCUCAGAUUUAUGUGGGGGCUGUUAUUUAGGGACUGUUUAUUUUCACAUCCAUUAAGUCACCUAGCCCUAUUUAGCCAUAUGUUAUCUUGCUUCCAUCCUGACCUCUUUGAUAGUCCUGAAAUUCCUUUGUCUUCCUGCCUUUUCUAAUUCUCACCCCCAAGCUAAGUAGAGACUGGUCUGUUGUCUGUAUAAAAAGCUUGACUUCCUGGGGGAGGGAAGUCAGGUCUGUUCCCUAAAAAAUGCUGUCAGGGUUUUUUAUCUGUUUUAUCUUCUUCAAUUUUAUUAUCUUCCCUUAUUGGGAUUACUUCAUUAGAAUCUGGGGGUUAGAAUCCUGGGAAAGCAACUGCCAUCUGGAAGUUGGAUGAGGACUCUGGAGCUAAAAGCAUCUCAAGAUCCCAGCUCUGACCUCCUGUGGACUUUCAACUUGUUCCAGUGGAAAAUCCAGCUAUAUCCUGUAGACCAAUUAAGUCCUUUACUCUGCUGCUACACUGUGGAGAUUGAAUCUCAAGAAGGGUUGGUCAGAACUGCUUUUUUUGCCUUAGCGGAGGCUUAGGCCUCACCAAGGAGAAGAUCCAAAGGAAGAAGAUCCAGGAGCAGUCUUACAAGAAGCAGUCCAAGAGUCAGAGUACCAGGUCCAAGUUGUAGCUCCAACUCUCAGUUCCUGUUCCAGAUCCACCAACCCAAAAAUUCAGGAAGAAGACUUCUUGCACAGGAAGUUCAUCAUCUUUUAUGGUCAUUUUUUAUGUGACUUCCUGUCCCUUACUCCACUUUAAGGAGACCAAGUGCAGUAUUUAAAUUUGCUUAGCACUGCCCAGGGAGUGGUUAGUCACUUCUGGAGUUGUCACCCACUUUAGUAAGUGGCUUGCAGACCUCCCCUACUUAGUGUUAAGUGGGGGUGUCUAUGCUUUUGGUUGAUUAAAUUUAAAAGUAGGCAAGGUGAGAGUCAAUCCUAUCUUUUCAGCACUAUAUAUACAUGCUUAGGCACUGUAAAAUUUAAAAUUAAAUCUUAAAAGUAAAAAUAUUAAAUUUUAGGAGGUUUAUUAAGUGAUCAUUAGAAAUAAAGAAAUAAAGAGGAUACAAAAUAAAAAAACACAAGCCCAUGGCUGAUUAGCCAUUUCAAAAUUCCCACACUUAGUUUACCUCCACCACCAUAUUCGCUGCAUCAUGUCAAAAAAAAGCUGAGCAGGACUGCCCACUGAAUGUUUAUUCCCUGUCUACAGGAAGUACAUAAUAACAAGAAAUCAGUGGGAUCCCAGGAAAUGUAGUUCAGUUCUUUUUUAGGGUAACAAAUUUUCAAUUAUACAGCAUGUAUCUAUGGAUAUGUGGUACUUUUGUUUCUGUCUUUGACUAUAUACAUACAUAUAUAUGUUACAGUUGCGGUAGUUGCCUCUCGGUAACCGAGGAUGACGAUUGUCUUUGUGCGUUUUUGUGCACAAAGACACUUGUGCAUGAAGAUUUAAGUGGAAAAGUUGAUGCACAGAGACAGUCCCACUCUCUCGGCGUUGGAAGCCUGGGCCCAUUGGCACGAAAAGUCGUUACACCUGGAGACUUCCUCAGCUGCAUAGGAUGGCCGUGUUGUCUUUUGUGCUCCAACACGCCCUAAGCACUCCACAGUGCUUUGCUGCGUCGCCAUCUCAGCCGUUGAACCUUCUUAUUGGUUUCUUCCGUCUGUUCUGCCGAAGUAGUCUUCACAUGCUGGAUAUGUAAGGAUGAGCUGUCCCCUGCUAUUUGCAACAGAGACUCUUCUGGAAAAGUGGACAGCGGUCCUGUGGAAAUAAUAAAUUAGAAGAAUGGAGAACCAGAUAAGUAGCAGUUGCCAUUUUGGCAAAAUUUGAACUACAGAGUAAAACUGCAGCUUUCAGUUGGUGUUAACAGUAAUUAUGAUAUUUAAAGAGUUCGCAUUUUUCCUUGCUAUAACAUGAAUCAGUGGGUUUGUACCGAUCAUGUCAGUUUCUAUUUCUUUCACUUUAGUGUUAGAUCGGCUAGAACAAAGCUCGACCCUGGGUAGAGGAGGAAUGAGUAUGGUGGCUGGUUCUGAGAUGUAUGGUUAUUACUUGUAUUUUAUUGCCUAAUUAUUUAAUUUAGUUAAACUACUUCCUAAUAAAAUGACUCUUUCGUAUAAUCGAAAGCUGGAAAAAGAAGGCAAGGAUAUAAUCAAGUUGAAGAAAAGGACUGCAAAGUGUGUUUAGAUAAGAAAGAGGUGGUAGAAUAGUAUCAAUAGGAUGUUAGGUUGAUUAGAGACACCCCUAUCCACGGCCUCAUUUUUAAGACUACAAGAUAAUCCUCAUCAUAUUCCAUAUUUCAGUCUUUGUGACUACAACUGAAAUCUUUCAUAUUUCCAUGGGUUGUCUCUGUCUGAAUAAGAUGAACUUCCCAAGAUAAUCUUAUCCUUCUAAUCUCAUUGGUGUACUGGAUAACUAUACUGAUUGACAUAAUCAUGCAUUCCCCUCUGAUUCAUUAGAGGACUGGAAAGCACAGUACCAAACUCCUCCUACUGCUUUCCUUUAUAGAGAGCAGAAACACAUUUUCCACUGCUUCUAUUCUGUAUCUGCUGCUUAGACCAUGAGCUUUUUGAGGGCACGGUUUGUCUUUUUAUUUACUUUUUCCUUAGUGCUUAGCAUAUGGUCAGGUGCAUAAAAUAGGUGCUGCUUAAAUUAUUUAUUGGAUUAUUAGAUUGGAUUAUCUGUCCUGUUAAAUUGAGAGCUACUUGAGGACAGAGACUGCUUAAAUUUUGUUUGUCUCUAGCAUUCAGCAUUAAAGCAAACUUACAGUGUUUUUCUUUUAGUAAUUACUUAAUGUAUCCCUUUUUCAUUCACUUAGUUUGAAAAUGUCAUAAAUGACAUUUCAGAAGAUACUUUGUGAGAUUCACCUAUACCAAAGAGUAACUCUGAGAAGAAUGUCUGGAGAACAAGGAUUUAGAACAGAUUUCAAUUGCUUUAUGCAUUGGUACCAUUAUACUAUACUUGACAAUAAUUGGAUGUUAGUUUCUAACUUUCCAACAAAAUGAGUAUGGUUCAGUGUCAGAUAAUGGUAGGCCACAGCAUUUAUUAAGCAUUUAUUGAAUACAAAAUAGAUUCUGAAGAAGUAAGUUCAUGAUACUGUAAAAGGAUAUAGAAUAACACUAAUCUUACUAAAUUUUUUCUUCUGUUUGAGGGUAAAUAUAACAACCUUUGGUAAGACAAAGGUACUUGUUUAGCAACCUCAAAAAAGUUCAAAAUUAAAAAUAAGCAAACAACAUAGUAUAUAAAAUACUGAUGAGAAAGGAAGGAGUGUUGAGUUGAAUUUAAUUUUAAAAAAGGAAGGCUUGGAAAGGGUAAGUAUUAAAGGGGAUGAUCAUAGAUCUCCCCUCUCCCCCAAGUAUUCAUUCCAUAGAAGAAGAACAUUAAGGGCUAGGCAAUUGGGCUUGUGUUUUGCCCAGAAUUUCAUAGCUAAGACAUUUCUGAGGUCAGAUUUGAACCAAGGACCUUCAUUUUCUCCAGGUCUUGCUCUUUAUCCUUUGAGCCAUCUAGCUGCCCCUUGUGAUCAUAGAUCACAGAAGAUGAAAGUUUGUCAAAGCUGGAAGAAAAUUAAAGUUCAUCUUAAUAUAGCUAUCAUUUUACAAAUGGCUAAAUUGAGUCAUAUCUACUUAUCAAGAACUAAAUAAAUGCUUACUGAGUUGAUCUAGAGAUAUGAAGAGAGACAUUGUGUUAUAGGCAGCCAUAGAAUCAGAAAGUCUUGUCUUCAAGUCCUUUAAAAAAAUUAUUUAUUGGGGGUAGCUGGGUGGCUCAGUGGAUUGAGAGCCAGGCCUAGAGACAGGAGGUCCUAGGUUCAAAUUUGGUCUCAGACACUUCCCAGCUGUGUGACCCUGGGCAAGUCACUUGACCCCCAUUGCCUAGCCCUUACCACUCUUCUGUCUUGGAGCCAAUACACAGUAGUGACUCCAAGACGGAAGGUAAGGGUUUAUUUAAAAAAAAUAUUUAAUUAAUUUUGAAUAUUUUUCUAUGGUUACAUGAUUUGUGUUCUUUCCUUCCCCUCUUUUCUCCCCUCUCCCGUAGCCAAUGAGCCAUUCCACUGGAUUUUACAUGUAUUAUUGAUUGAGACCUAUUUCCACAUUAUUAAUAUUUAUAAUAGAGCGAUGUAAGAGAGGAAUUGGACUCAACCUGUCAAAAAGAAAAGAGAAGCAGAUUUUGCAUGCUGAAGGACCAGCUGGAACAGGGGAAGGGCAGGAAGGAGAGAGAAUUCUGAAGAAAGGAAGAGGAAGUAAGAGAAUCUGGACAACUGGAGAGGGGACUUCUUUCUGGGAAGCCUAACAGAAAGGAGGAUCUGAGUGGAUCUCUGAACCAGAACUCUCCUCCUGUGACCCUUGACCCAAUUUCCAGAGAAACAAGGUAAGUGAACAGGACUUCAACUGGAAGCUGUUCACUAUAAGAAGAAUUUCUCUGAAUCCCCUGAAAGUCUUGGAACUUAUAAUAGCCAAGGCAUCUAGAAAAGUGAAGACAUCUUCAUAACUGACCCCAGGGGGUCAGGCAAGCAAACCCUGAUCUCACCAGACUUUGGGAAGAAGGGGUUCACUUACUUUAAGGACCUCCCAUUCCCUCUUUCCUGUUACCUUUAUUCUUCAAUUCAAUUGCCUUACCCCUUUAUUUGUUUUCUUAGAAUAAACAGCUAUUCUUAAGAGCAAGAGACUGGCUUCAUAGUAUCUAAGAAAGGAAGGAGACUUUGGGAGAUUGGGGGGGGGGGGAGAGAGGUUACAUUUCUCUCCUCAGAAAGAAACUGUUGUUACCAUAAUAAUAAGUCUGCGGGAACAGAAGUUUGUGAUCUUGAUGGCAGUCAGAGUAGGGUUUGCCAGGGAGAAGAGAGAGGGAAAUCAAUUCAUCCCCUUUCUCUUUAUACUUGAUUCCAUUCCACCUCUACCUCACUCUGGUACUGACCCAACAGGGGACACACUCCAUUCUUGACCUGCCAUUAUAUUACAGUGAUCAUUUAGAGUCUUUAUCCCCAAUCAAAUCCCCAUCAAAUCAUGUGAUCAAGGAAAUAUUUUUCUUUUGUGUUUCUGCUCCCACAGUUCUUUCUCUGGAUGCAGAUAGCGUUCUUUCUCAUAAGUCCCUCAGAAUUGUCCUGGAUUAUUGCAUUGCUGCUAGUAGAGAAGUACAUUACAUUCAAUUGUACCACAGUGUAUCAGUCUCUAUGUACAAUGUUCUACUGGUUCUGCUCCUCUCACUCUGCAUCAAUUCCUGGAGGUUGUUCCAGUUCCCAUGGAAUUCCUCCAGUUCAUUAUUCCUUUGAGCACAAUAAUAUUCCAUCACCAACGUAUACCACAAUUUGUUCAGCCAUUCCCCAAUUGAAGGGCAUCCCCUCAUUUUCCAAUUUUUUGCCACCACAAAGACAAUGUCUAUAAAUAUUUUUGUACAAUUAUUUCUCCUUUUAUAUCUCUUUGGGGUACAGACCCAGCAAUUGUAUGGCUGGAUCAAAAGGCAGGGAGUCAUUUAAAGCCCUUUGGGCAUAGUUCCAAAUUGCCUUCCAGAAUGGUUGCAUCAAUUCACAACUCCACUAACAGUGCAUCCUUGUCCCAAUUUUGCCACAUCCCCUCCAGCAUUCAUUACUUUCCUUUGCUGUCAUGUUAGUCAACCUGCUAACUGUGAGGUGGUACCUCAGAGUUGUUUUGAUUGGCAUGUCUCUGAUUAUAAGAGAUUUAGAGCACUUUUUCAUGUGCUUAUUGAUAGUUUUGAUUUCUUUAUCUGAAAACUGCCUAUUCAUGUCCCUUGUCCAUUUAUCAAUUGGGGAAUAGUCAAGCCUUGUCAUAGCUGUUAUCAUGGACAAAUCACUCAACCUCUCAGUGAUCUAGGGGAAUUUUUAUACAUUGCAGAUGAGUUGCAAAUCUAUAUUGUUACUGUGAGCUUCCACACGGAGAGUCAAUCCACUACAUGAAUGAAAUCACAGGUACAGACCAACAGACAGAGAGAAUGACUGACACAGAAAAAGGGAGGAAAAAAAAGAGAUAUGAUGAUUUUCUUAAAUUAAAUUACAUACAAGGGAGAUUAUCCAUAUGGGUCUAGAUAUGUUCACAUCACAAUCAGGAACUUGGAGAUAUUUGGCCAGGCUAUCACCUCAAGGUGGGUGAGCCUAGAGGAACAUAAUGAGGAUGAAGUUGGGGGCAAGGGAUGGCAUCCUACAAGUUAGGGACAUUAAAUAUUUCUUUCUUACCCUCUUCUCUUUGCUUGUAAUUUGAUUAUAUAGAUCUUUAUAUGGGUUGCAUAAUGGUUAGGAGGACAAAAUGACAUAAUACUAACCAGAAAAGAAAGGUGAGAAACUGAACAUUUAAAGUUUUGUUUCCUUGAAAUGUACUGGUUUCAAUUCAAAGAGUUUGCAUUCAUUUACUCCAAAAAGUGAUUUCUUUCCUUCUUUUCCCUUCACACUGUCUUUUUUUUUAAAGAAAAAAGGUUUACUAUACUUCAAAUAACUCUUUCAAAAUAACAUGCACUGAAGUGAAAGAAAACCAGGCCUAAAGGGAAAGAAGAAGCCUCACUUCUUAUGGAACAAGGAACUAUUACUAAAGAGAGGGAAGGUUUUGCUUCCUGUGAAGAAAGGGCAGGGAAAACUUUUGAAGCCAAUGACAAGUCUCUUUUUAAAUCCCCUAAAAGGUCAUACAAUAAUUGAGUACUAGUGUUUUUUUUUUUAAAUCAACUUCUCCUAAGUGAACCAGUAAAAGUUAAACACUUAAAUUAACUGAGCUGAACAUAGACUUAAGAUCCCUAAGGCAGAAAACGACUUUUGCUUUGCUUCUCCAAACUUUUCCUUUCCCUAGUGACUGCAAACAUAUGCCCCAAAGUCAUCACAGUCUGAAAGUACAGACUAUGUGCAAUAUUAGAAAUGGUGCCAAAGUUCGGCUUUCUCAUCCCAGAGAUGCUGCUUCUCAACAGCUUUGUUUGGUGAACAUUAAUCCAUGGGGAUGGGGAAGGCCCCUCAAAUUCUCAAGUCUCAACUCCUCCCAGAGGCCUUCCUUGACUAAUUAGAAGUCAAGCCAAUAAGUAUUUAUUGAGAACAUGCAAUAUGCCAUGGGGGAUACAAGAGAAGCCCAAGACAUGGUUCCUGCCUUCAAGGAGCUGACUGACUCUUUGGGGAAUGCAAGACUUACACAGAUGAAACAAUUUGAGAGCAGCAAAAGACAGUAUAUAAAAUACUAAAUCAUAUGGAACAGAUGGAGUUCAGGGAAAGCAUCAACAUGGGCAUUAGUGGUUAGGGAACAAUUUAGGGAGAUGGGGACUUGAAAAAUUAGCAAGAUUUAUAGAAAGAGGUGGAACACAGGGGGGAACAUUUGGGGCAAGGAAAAAAAGUGAGCAAACUAUCGUGGUUAUCUCUUCAUUCAUCCCACCCCCUCUGAACAUAUAACUCUCAUGCUCCAUUCACAAAUGAUUCACUUAUCUCAAGGAACUAAAUCAUUGCCCAGAACAAAGGAACUAUAGUUGAACAAGUCCAGGCUCUGGAAAGAUAGGGGAGAUCAGGAAAGAGGAAAUUGGUAUAAACAGUGUUUGAGAACCAACGAGUUUUUUAGAAGUUCAUGUGAUCAAUUACAAAGUUUCCUUUAACUGAAAGAAAUAUGAGGCAUUGAUCUGGCAAGUAAAUAUCUUUUUAUUGAAAAUGAAGGGAACGGGAUUAACAAAUUAGGAAAGAGAGAAAAGAGAAGUAUAAAAUAAAUCAGGAAGCCAAAUUACAAAAAUGCUGAAUUGUAAGGGAUUAUGAAAAUGAUCCAAACUCCUGCCCCCAGAGAGUGUCCCACUUAUGAUGUGCCUCCUUCUUUAUAUUCAUACAGCUUCCUUUCUGCUAUAGGUUAUUGAAUCAUCUCUUACCUGUAAUAUUAAAAUAGCCUUCUUCUUGGUUACCCUGCCUCAAAUCUCUCUCCAUUCCAAUCCAUUUGCCAAUCAGCUACCAAAAUGAUUUCCCUAAAGCAUAGUUCUAAGCAUAUCAUUCCCCUAAAUUCCUGUGGCUCCCUAUUACUAUCAUGAUCAAUACCUCUGUUUUUCUUUUAAAGCUCUUUAUAACCUGUCACCUUUCUGCCUUUCUAGAUUUCUCACACUUAACUUCCCUAUUAAUGCUCUGAUAGCAUUGUCCUAUUUGCUAUUUGUCAUAUACACUAUGUUCCAUUUCUUAAAUUUGUGCCUUUUUUGCUGGCUAUCACUUGUGUCUGGUUCCCCUCCUAUUUUCAAGAUUUAGUGCCACUCCUGCCUCCUAUAGGAGGUUUUUCUUACUCUCCUCCAUCCACUCCUUUUCCCCAUUGCUAGUACCUACUUGCAGAUAUUCCCUUUCAUGUAAUACUUAUAUGUAUAUGCAUGUGUACACAUAUAUCCACAUAUGUAUUGAGUUUCUACAUAUAUGUAUAUACACAUGCAUAUGUAUACAGAUAUGUCUGUAUACCUAUAAAUAUAUAGAGAGAAAUAUGAGACAGACAGACAGACAGACAGAGAGUUUUGUUCAUUCAUUUUAUUUCUGUCUGACUAUGAGCCUAUCACCCCAUUUGGAGUUUUCUUGGCUAAAAUAUGGAAGUGGUUUGCCAUUUCCUUCUCCAGCUCAUUUUACAGAUGAGAGAAGUGAGGCAAAAGGGGCUAAGUAAAUUGUCCAGAAUCACACAGAUAGUAAGUGUUGAGGCCAUAUUUGAACUGAAGAAGAUGAUUCCAGUUGUGUCACUCUAACCACUGCCAUCUAACUGUCCCUAUGUAUGCAGGUGUAUUUGUUAUACACACACAAACAAUAUAUAAUAUAUCACCACACGUAAAUAUAUACAUAUGUAUAUGUAUGUAUAUAUAAGAACAUGCUACAAACUAUGAGUGUAUAUAUGCAUAUAUGCACCCACAUAUAGUUGGAACAAUAUAGAAUCUAUCUAUAAAACAACAUGCUGGAAUGAGCCUCUUGAGGGCAGGAGCCAGGUUUUGCCUUUCUUCAUGUAUUCUAUCUAUCUCAACAUGGCUCACGGUUCAGAAAGAGGCAAUAAUAAACAUAUCUGGCAUCUCCUCCCCCUCCCCUUCUUCUUUAAUUACUGCCAGAAGUUGGAGUCAAAGGCUUGACGCUGCUCUUAGAGAAAGGGAAUAGCUAGGAAUAACCAUCUGUUCCUUUAAAUAUUUUUAGUGUAGUGUAGGGGAAAUAACUUAAAGGUUCAAGCUUAACUCCUGAUCACUUUUUCUUUAUAGGUAAAGGGAAACACUAUGCUUUAGAUCCAAGGCUUGACCUUCCUCUCACAUAUCAGUUACACAAUGAAUACACAUAGCAAAUAAAUCCAUUUAUCCAAGUUGUUUUCAAUAUAAAAAUCAGAGGAGGUAUAUGUAUGAGGAUAUAUAUCAGACAAUACUCAGAGGAAAUAGUUCUCCCUUAGAAAGAGAAAUAAUCCAGCUCAACCAAGAGUCUCUGAUCUUAGACAAAGAGGAAACCUCUUUGAAGUCUCCAGUAUAGCAAACUGAGGAUAUGGAUGUGACAUAGAUUUCCAGCUCUUUUCAUAUUGGUUUCUUUACAGUCUGUUUGCUCUUCAGAGGGCUAAAGAGAGGUUGAUAUCCAUCUCUCUAAAAACUGGAAGCCAGAGGCAGCCAAGAGCCUGGAUCUCACACCAGUACAGGACGUUGGUCUUCACCAGCGAGGACAGAUUCUCAUGCCAGAGGACUCUGGAGCUCAGGUCACAUUAUUUCCCUGGGCCAGAACUCUUUUGAGUUCUUUGUAAAUAUUAGCUGGAACAAGACUAAAACCUGUUUCAGUACUUUAUAAACAAAAACCUCGGUGCUUUGAGACUUGAGCGACUUUCCUCAACAACUUUUAGCAUUGUUGAAAUGGAAAUAAAACAAAUGCACAUUAAGCACAUAGAGUAGACAUGCCAUUAUACGGAACAUCACCUGGGAGGAUACUUCAAUGACAACACGAGUAACUACAUAUAGGACAUGGCACAUGCACAUUCUGAAAGUGUAUGCCUGCCCAUGGUACACAGGAAUCAAUCAAAUGCAUCAAGAUUGGCUAUGUGGUUAGGCAAAGCUAGUGAGCUGCACUAAUAACACUACCAAUAGGCUUAGAUAUAAAUAUAACUGUAUAUGCAAAGCAGUUAACUGACAUUGCUACAGAAUGAACAUAACAUAAAACAACAAAAUGAAUACAACAGCAAAACAAAGAACAAAUGCACUCAAACGUGUAGUAAUUCACAUUUAGAGCCCUAAACACAUGCAAUUAUAAGCAAGGCACAUUUCACAUGGGCAAAUUCUGGUUUUGUUACCUAAAAACAUGUGUAGCUACAUCUUUAGGGUUUCCUCUAAUAGCACAGCAGCUCAGGGACCCGUCUAAUAGGCCUAGUUCUCUUGUCAUUGACUAAUCUCUUUGCUCCUAAACUUGAACUAGUUGUUCCUAUAGGCUGAUUGUCAAGAGUAUUAUAGACUUGUUUGCCUAAACCUGAGCUAUCAGCCAUGCCAGCUUUUCAGUCAGUAUGUGGUCUGUGAAUUAAAUCGAUAUCCAAGGAGUCUCCAUAACAGUUGUGGGCAAGACAUUGCCUCUGGGUUCAAUUCCUUUGCCCUGUAAUAAUAUAAAGCAUUUUCUUCAUCAGGUCCUUUACCUUUAUCACUUAUAUCCAAGUCAGAAAGUCUUUGUACAGAUGGUAGACCAUCUCCUUUCCUCAGCCUUUGUAAAGGUGAGUAUAUAUCAGUUCUUUCUACCUACUUGUUAGGGAUCCAACUAUUCUUCUAUGAGCAAUAAGUGGUUACAGUAAAUAAUUUUAAUAGGAUUUCCUAUAUUCUCUGGGAGUAUUUUGAAAACAUGCAAGUGCCCCAGUGUCUCAAUAACUUUAUAUGGGUGAGUUUUCCAUUGUUCAGCUAACUUGUGAGUCCUUUAUUUCUUGCAGGAUGCUUUUAGAAUUUUAAAAGGGAUCAGAAUUAAUUCCAAUUAGUGCUGAUGUUCUAGUGAGUGUUGGAGAGUUUCAGAGCCACAGUGUCCACUAUUUUGUUGACAAAUAAAUUCCUUGGGAAAUUUCACACUUACAUGGAUGUAUCUCAGGUAUGGGUUAUACUUAUUACUCAAACCACCAAGUCCAAGCUCUAGUACAGUCUAAACUUAUUUAACUAAAAUACCUGUCAUAAAAAAUGGGAACUUCUUGAUAACUUCAGAUCUACUGUCCAGGACAGCAUUGCAGUCCACAUUCUCAAUGUUUACUAUCACCUCCAUAGGAGUCCUUCGAGUUCAGGUAGAAUAGAAACAUAAGUAAAUAAUGAUAUUAUCAGCGUCUUUGGGGCCCAGAAUAACCUCUUUAUUUGGCUCCACUCCAGUUUCCCAAUGCUGGUUCAGAAGAUUUUAAUUCCCUCAUGACCAAUGCUAGAUUCUCUUUGCCAGUACAUCAAAUGAGAGUAUGGUGAUCUAGUUUACAACUAUAAUAAAAGAUGGACUUGUUUCUCCAGUGAUUCCCUGAUAGAAAAAUUCUCAUGUCUGGCUUUUCUGCCUUCCCUUAGUACUCUGUCUUUUCAAGGUGAAUAGGAUGGUACACUACUCCAUCUCUUAUCUGAUUGUCUCACUUUCUAUGACUGCAACUCUACCAGUUGGUUCUAUUGUCCUGCUAUAUUCCCGUAGCCCACACUCAAGGAGUCCUCAAGUGUGCUAAGGCUGAAUCCUGGGGAUUUUAUUGAUCUAUGAAGCUCAGGAGUAUUUAACCUUGGCCACUCUUUCUGUGUCUGCAUAGAUAUGAUGAUAUCAGAUGUAUGAGAGUCAUAUACUAAGACCCAUAACUGUAAUUUUACCUGAAUUGUCAGCAUCCACAGGGUCAGCUAUUUGUAUCAGUCUCUGCACACACUUCUCAAUCUUAAGAAAGGAUUCAAAAGUCUUUCUCCUUUGUACUGCAUAGUAUUAUAAACAAAAUUAGCAUAGUGAUCUUUUUAUCUGCCUCCUCAAACAGUUUGUAUACAUUCAUGCCAGGUAACAUCUGUCCUUGCCUGUAUGAGGUGGCUUCAGCUAUUUCCCUUAUGCUAUCUUUUAGUCGCAUCAUUUAGGCUGGUUUAGGGACCUUCAGUUCUCCCAGGUGCACUCUUACCUGUUUAAUCCAAAGCUUUCAGGAUUAUUCUUCAGGGGAACAUGGUUCAUUAUCAAGUAAAAAUGCCAACUAUUAACCUAAGAUAUCUAUACAUCAUAGAGGGCAUAACCUCACUCUUAUGCAUACAUGAAGUGGAAUUCCUAGAUUGAAGAAUGACAUUCUCUCUCUCUGUAGGAAGGUCUCCUUUGGUUAGAAGGACCCCCACAUCUUUAAGCAAUUCCUUAUCUUCAAAGGCUGAAGAAGUCCAAAAUUUCCAGUAAUCACUCUCUACUGUCAACUCCUUAAUGAUAUCUCUAAGAUCAAAAUUCUCAGGCAGAAUUAGAAAAAGUUCAUAAAUUGCCUGACCUACCUUAACAUCAGUUCUGUCUGUACUGUGGUGCCAGAUUUCUAUUAACAAACAAUUGUUAAUGCAAUGAGCAAAUAUUUAGUAUCAUUUCAACAAAGGUCUAUUGGAUUAAUAUUGUAAGAAUUUAAAUUUAGGUUUUAUGCUAAAUACGAGAAUUCUAAAAUAAUAUUGUGGUCAAAAAUAUUAUAGCUUAAGGCAAAAUGACUUUUAUUUUAAAAAAAAUUUAACCCUUAACCUCUGCUUUAGAAUCAUUCAAUAUUAGGUAUUGAUUCUAAGGCAGAAGAAUGGUAAGCGCUAAGUAAUGGGGGUUAAGUGACUUGCCCAGGGUCACACAGCUGGGAAAUAAUCUGUGGCCAGACUUGAACCCAGGACCUUCCAUCUCUGGACCUGGCUUUCAAUCCACUGAGCUACCCAGCUGUCCCCUCAAAAUGAUUUUUAGCUGCUUUAUUUACAAAAAGUGGAAAGAGUGAAUGAAAGUGGGAUAAAGAGACAGAAAGUACUGCCUAGCUAUAAAUACCCGAAGUUUAAUACUAAUGUCUCCAGACCUCAAAUGCGAAUCUCACUGGAAUCCAAAGUCCUAAUUAGGAAGCUGAAAUCCUAAGAGCCAGGAGAAGCUGAAGAAUCUGCCAAGAACCUUCAGUGCACAUGAGACUAAGACUGCCAAGAAUCUCACCAGAACUCACACUGAAGGGAGUGUCUCACCAAAGCACCAACAAGCAGAGAGGGUCUCCUCACUGAAGAACGAAGGAAGGAACCACUCCACUCACCAUUGCAAGCCCAUGUUUAUAAUUGAAAAUCUGUUACCCUAAAGGGGAACUACAUUUCCUGAGAGCACACUGACUUCCUGUCAUUAUGUACUUCCUGUGGACAGGGAAUAAAUAUCCAGGGGGAAGCCCUGCUCUUCCUCUUUGGCAAGAUGCAGCAAUCAUGGUGGUGUGGUAAGUUGGGGAUUUUGAAAUGGCUAAUCAGCUAUGGGCACAUGGUUUUUAUUUUGUAUCCUCUUUAUUCCUUGAUGUCUAAUAAUCAUUUAGUAAACCUCCUAAAAUAUAAUAUUUUCAUUAUUUAGAUCUAAUUUUAAUUUUUAUAAUGCAGGAUCUGGAGAAAGAGUCUCCUCCUCCAGUCUGGCUCCCCUACACAGAGAGCACAUCACUGAAUCCUUGAGCUGGCCUUUUUAUAGCAGUUUUCUUAAAGUCACUUCCUGUUGCUCCCCCACUUUACAGGAACCAAUCACAGACAUUCAAUUUGCAUUUGCCUAGUACUGCCCAAGGGGCGAGGCAGUGGCCUCUGGGGUUAUCACCCACUCUAGCAAAUGACUUGUGAACUCCUAUACUUCGUGACUGGUAAGGUAUUAAGUAGGAGUAUUUAAGUUUUUGAUUCAUUAACUUAAAAGUUGCUGAUUGAUUGGCAAGUAUGUUGGGGUACUACAGAGGCCUACCUCUUCCUGUGAUGAAGAAGUGGUGAGGGAGGAGUUGAGGUCACUUCCUACAUGCCUGUUUUCCAAUUGGAAACCUUUUACAGUAAAGAUAUUCAAGGAGUCAACCUCUAUUUACUCUUCUCUUCUGCCCAAACAAUCUCUCUCCCCUCACCUAGUCUAGCUGCUUUGUAUCUCUCUCUCUCUCUCUCUCUCUCUCUCUCUCUCUCUCUCUCUCUCUCUCUCUCUCUCUCUCUCUCUCUCUCUCUCUCUCUCUCUCUCUCU